rnacentral:rRNA from 1 species
UUUGAUCAUGGCUCAGGACGAACGCUGGCGGCGUGCCUAACACAUUCAAGUCGAACGAUUUAGCAUUUGAGCUUGCUUGAAUGCUGGAUAGUGGCGGACGGGUGAGUAACGCGUGAGCAACCUGCCUUUUUGAGGGGGAUAACACCGGGAAACCGGAGCUAAUACCGCAUAAAAUAUUGAAAUCGCAUGGUAUCGAUAUCAAAGGAGCAAUCCGCAGAAAGAUGGACUCGCGUCCGAUUAGCUAGUUGGAGGGGUAACGGCCCACCAAGGCGACGAUCGGUAGCCGGACUGAGAGGUUGAACGGCCACAUUGGGACUGAGACACGGCCCAGACUCCUACGGGAGGCAGCAGUGGGGGAUAUUGCACAAUGGGGGAAACCCUGAUGCAGCAACGCCGCGUGAGGGAAGAAGGUUUUCGGAUUGUAAACCUCUGUCCUAGGUGAAGAUAAUGACGAUAACCUGGGAGGAAGCUCCGGCUAACUACGUGCCAGCAGCCGCGGUAAUACGUAGGGAGCGGGCGUUGUCCGGAAUUACUGGGUGUAAAGGGUGGCGUAGGCGGCCUUGCGGGUUCAGGNCGUGAAAUACAUGGGCUUUAACCCAUGGACUGCGCUUGAAACUAUAAGGCNUUGAGUGAAGUAGAGGCAGGUGGAAUUUCCCGGUGUAGCGGUGAAAUGCGUAGAGAUCGGGAGGAACACCAGUGGCGAAGGCGGCCUGCUGGGCUUUAACUGACGCUGAGGCACGAAAGCAUGGGUAGCAAACAGGAUUAGAUACCCCUGGUAGUCCAUGCCGUAAACGAUGAUUACUAGGUGUGGGUGGACUGACCCCCAUCCGUGCCGGGAGUUAACACAAUUAAGUAAUCCACCNUGGGGAAGUACGACCGCAAGGGUUGAAACUUCAAAGGAAUUNNACNGGGGGGCCCGCNCNAAGCAGUGGAAGUAUGUUGGUUUUAAUUCNGAAGAUNCNCGAANNAACCUUACCNGGNUCUUGACNUCCNGACUUAACGAANUAGAGAUACAUUAGGUGCCCUUCGGGGAAAGUCGAGACAGGUGGUGCAUGGUUGUCGUCAGCUCGUGUCGUGAGAUGUUGGGUUAAGUCCCGCAACGAGCGCAACCCUUACUGUUAGUUGCUACGCAAGAGCACUCUAGCAGGACUGCCGUUGACAAAACGGAGGAAGGUGGGGACGACGUCAAAUCAUCAUGCCCCUUAUGACCUGGGCUACACACGUACUACAAUGGCCGUAAACAGAGGGAAGCAAAGCCGCGAGGUGGAGCCAACCCCCAAAAGCGGUCUCAGUUCAGAUUGCAGGCUGCAACUCGCCUGCAUGAAGUCGGAAUUGCUAGUAAUCGCAGAUCAGAAUGCUGCGGUGAAUACGUUCCCGGGCCUUGUACACACCGCCCGUCACACCAUGGGAGCCGGUAAUACCCGAAGUCAGUUACUUAACCGUUAAGGAAAGCGCUGCCGAAGGUAGGAUUGGCGACUGGGGUGAAGUCGUAANCAAGGUA